GGGCUGACUUUAGCCCAGCGGUUCCUUCGACUCUUGCCUUCCUAACCAUCUGGGUCGCUGGCUUUUAUCAUCCAGUGGUUAGAGACUCGCAGGUGCUCUCCAGUCCUUUU
ensembl:misc_RNA Vault Vault RNA